CCGGGUUAGAGUUUUGGAAUCGAACCGGGGAACUGAACCGGAUAAACGGUUAUGACAGAGAAUAACGUUGGACAACGCCGGCAACGCUCCGAUGGCCGGAGGAAUACUCCCGGAUAACUGAUUGUAACUGAGAUCCAGCGUUUGCAACCCCCGGAGCUUCCCAAGCCCCGCCGGAAUCCCGCCGGAGAGAAAAUUCCGGCUGAUUCCAAGAAACCUGAGAUUCUGCAACUCCGACAAGAUUUCCGGCAAUGCACCGGUUAUCCUCCCCGGAACAACACUAAACUCAGCCAACCCAGAAAGUUUCCCAAUCGCCGGAUCAAUCCUUCCAGUCAAUCCCGGCGACCCAGCUCUGGGAUCACCGAGAUUCAACGCGACAACCUUAUCCCCCUCGCAGAAAACUCCGGCGAAGCCACAGGGAUCCGAAGUAAAAUCCCAGGACCCAAAAUAAUUCGACCCAGGCAAAUCAUCCAAGCUUUUCCGAACCGCUUGUAAAGCCAAGAAAUCCACAGGGUCAAGAAUCGCAAAAACUGCAAAGAACCUAACAAGAAGACAAACAAGGAAGAAGAAGAAUCUAAGCAUUGUGUACCCGAUUUUUCAAGAAACAGAGAGCAGAAGAUGAAGAAAAGAAAGCUCUUUUUUUCCCAGAUUUCUUUCUUCUGGGAGAGAAGUGAAGAUGUUGGAAAGGGCAAUAAGUGGUGGCGAUGCUACUAUGUUGUGUCAGUGUGUUGCGCUUUUAGGUGGAGGAGAGGACACAGAAAAUCUGUUUUGCUUCGUUUAUUAAUGAAAAAUUAUGUACGUAAAUAUUGUGGAGUUCGAGGGAUAAACGGUUGUCCGAGCCUACGUGGAUGUCCGAAGCUGGGAGUUUAGGUGACAGAUAAGCAGGCUCGAGUUUUGAGGAAGAUGACCACGUAACCUUUUUGUCUUUAUGCUUAGGAGUUGGAGAAAUGAAAAGCGUGCCUUGUUUAUUAGAUUAUAGAUUAGACUUUAGAGGAAUAAAAAACUAAAUAAAAAUUGAGAAUGAUGUUUUUUCGUUAGGAAUUGAGUAAGACUUGUGUAAGACUGUCUCACGAGUUUCACUUCAUAAUUUUUAUUUAUUUAGUACUUGUGAA